GCCUUCGUGAUGUAAUUGGAAGCAUAAUUGACUCGUAUUCGAGGGCUCCAGGGUUCAAGUCCCGGCGAGGGCA
rnacentral:tRNA from 1 species